GUGCAGCAGGCGAGAAUUUUUCACAAUGGGGGAAACCCUGAUGGAGCGACGCCGCGUGGAGGAUGAAGGCGUUUUCGUCGUAAACUCCUGUCAUGCGAGAACAAGAAAGUGAUAGUAUCGCAAGAGGAAGAGACGGCUAACUCUGUGCCAGCAGCCGCGGUAAUACAGAGGUCUCAAGCGUUGUUCGGAUUCAUUGGGCGUAAAGGGUGCGUAGGUGGCAUGGUAAGUUGAAGGUGAAAUCUCGGAGCUCAACUCCGAAACUGCCUUCAAUACUGCUGUGCUUGAGGACUGUAGAGGAGAAUGGAAUUCACGGUGUAGCAGUGAAAUGCGUAGAUAUCGUGAGGAAGACCAGUGGCGAAGGCGAUUCUCUGGGCAGUUCCUGACACUGAGGCACGAAGGCUAGGGGAGCAAACGGGAUUAGAUACCCCCGUAGUCC
rnacentral:rRNA from 1 species